AGCCGAUUGCUUGCUUUACAUUAUUUCAUCCCCUCGCAAGUAGUCUUAGAAUCCAUUUUAGAAUUGGGUUGUUCCGAUGGAUACUUUAUCUAACAUUGGGGAAUUAUCUUAUUUGCUCAAAGCUGGCUUCGUGUUGGCUGGAUUUCAGUGUGCCGAUCGCGCACAUUUUUCGUCCUCUAUACUUGUUAUAAUUUUGAUCUAUAAUUUUUUUGUUAAUGAUUAUUUAUAUAUCUUUACAAAUGAAAUCUAAUUACACCUUUAAAGUGUUACCUCGGAGUUGAACCUUUUUGGCCCGUUUUGGCUCUCUUUCCAUCGUCUCUAUGAUGAUACUUUUCACAGACCUGUUCUGACUGACUGUGAUUGUACUUUUUUAUUCUGACGUGAGACAAGUUUUUUGGAAAGACUUAUAAAAUGUGCCAUUUUUCCAGCAUGUAGUCCACAUGGUUGAUGCUAAAGCUAGCACCUCGUGCUUCUGUCUUGCAGAUGCAGCGUGUUCGAGAAGCUACGUUAGCAUCAGAUGGAAAGAAUGCAAGAAGCCGAUGGAUGGUCUUCUGAUCUAAAGAUGGAAAAAAAAUUCUGGAACUGUUGGGUCAGAUGUUGACCAACUCAUGACGAGCUGCCAAAUGACAAGAGGCACGACGGAGAUGACACGUCAAACGUAAGUGCUUGAAUUACUUUUAAUGGGUGCAAUGAUGAAGAAACUUAGCUCACUUUGAUUUACAGUGAAAAGACACUAACUCCUGAGCACCCGCCAAGCCUCUUUGUACAUUUCCCCAUACGAGAAUUGAACAGAAACUAAAGUCUUUGUCUUUCAACAGGUUGAAGGUGAGUCGGUGUGCAAAAAGGCUCAUUGGUGCUUGUCUGCUGAAAGUGAUGAGACAAUAUUGGAAUCUCGUUCGUCUGAAUACUGAUGAGAAACACUAAUCUGACAGCAAUCGUAAUUGAAUAGUCACAAUUGGAAGUACCCCCGGCCAAACUUAACUCCUUUUUUUUUUUUUUUUUUUUUUUCUGUUCCGGCAGGUUUGAAUAGAUUUGGUGCACGGCAGCCACCAGGUGAGCAGUAAAGCACACGCAGGUCAACAUGGUCAGUGAGUUUCCUUGGUGAUGUCACACACGCACGUCUUACGCCAUGUGUUGACGCCAGACCUGUAAAGGGGAACCCACUGGUGUUGCCAUGGCAAGAAGGGGACAGCUUGUUGGAGUUUCCAACAGUCUGAAAGGAAACUUGCUGUACCGUGGUAACUCGCUUCUUGAUGUCAAAUGUGGCUAAUGAGUGUUGUCUUUUCAGAUGGCAAGCUGGAGUGACAUGUCACCGGCUGGGACGUUUGAAUUGCCUUCAUCAGCCAUACUGGAGUGACUGCUUUGAAGAUUUAAAGAUAGCAUCGCAAAUUUUCCCUCACAUAUGAAACACAUUUGAAUAAAAUUGGAAAAAAAUCCUAA